GAUGAACGCUAGCGGCAGGCCUAAUACAUGCAAGUCGAACGGAUAUAUGUUUUUCGGAAUAUAUAUUAGUGGCGCACGGGUGAGUAACACGUACAUAACUUGCCCUCAAGCGGGGGAUAGCCUUGGGAAACUGAGAGUAAUACCCCAUAGAAUUAUUGGACGGCAUCGUUUGAUAAUUAAAACUACGGUGCUUGGGGAUAGAUGUGCGUCUGAUUAGCUAGUUGGUGAGGUAACUGCUCACCAAGGCGACGAUCAGUAGGGGGCGUGAGAGCGUGGCCCCCCACACGGGUACUGAGACACGGACCCGACUCCUACGGGAGGCAGCAGUAAGGAAUAUUGGUCAAUGGAGGGAACUCUGAACCAGCCAUGCCGCGUGAAGGAUGACGGCCCUCUGGGUUGUAAACUUCUUUUGGAUGGGGCGAAAAAACGGGAUUUAUCCUGGACUGACGGUACCAUCAGAAUAAGCACCGGCUAACUCCGUGCCAGCAGCCGCGGUAAUGUGUG
rnacentral:rRNA from 1 species